UGCUCUGCGCUCUGUAGGCCCCUCAAGAUUUAUGGGCCUUGAGCUCUCUGAAGCUGUAAACAAGGAGAAAAAAAAGAGAAAGCGAGAGAGACUGGGGGAAAGAGACAGAGGCCUGACUCGCCCCUCCAGAUUGUGGGAGAGAAGGGAUUCAUACGUAUUUUCUUUGCCUUGCGAUCUCGGUGCGUGUGGGUUUUGGCAUCGGUCUGGGGGUGGUGUUCUGCCUGAAUGCUGGUGCGCGUGGGUAGCGUGCUGUUUGUGUGCUGGGGGAUAGGAGAACGCCUGCCUCAUUUGAAUGGCUGUGCAGGGGCCCGAACCUAAGAGGCAUUUGUGGGUAUAUACAUGUGAGUGUGUGCACCGUGUUAGGUGUGUGUGUCUGUGCGGUCCCCAUUCACUUGUGACAGACAGGCCUCCCUCUGAGCCAGGCUGUUGUCCCUUGAACCCGAUGAACAAAUCUCUAACAAUCAUAAUAACAAUAAAUAACAAUAAUAAAAGCAGUAGUUCAGAGUUCCACCCUAGUAGGAUAACAAUAAAAUGCCCAGGAGAUAUUUGGAGGAGGGGGCAGAGGAAGGGGUCACUAUCACAGGAUCUCAGAUGAAGACUAGAAAGGAAGUUAGCUUCUUUAAAUGCCCUGGGGGGCUGGCGCUGGGAAUCCCCUCCCUAGACGGAGCCCUCUGACCAGAGGAGGAGAGGAAGAGCCAGGAGGCCACUCUUUCCUGCUUCUUUUUCAAUGUCUUUUGCUUUGAACGAGAAGGAAAGGGAUCCCACUUACAGGGUGGUUAGUAGCUUUGGGGACUCUCUGGGAUCCCCUGUCUUAAUGAGAAGGCCAAAGGUGCAGGGUCAGGCCAAAGGACCGAGUUAAAUGAAGCUCUGAGCGCAGCCUCGAUCCCCGCAGCCCGGGCGGCAGAGGUGCCCAGGAGGACUAGCCGCGGGGCCGGGCGGGAAGCAGAAAAAUAUUUAUGGCCGCCCGGGCCAGGAGAGUGGGGAGAACUGGAGAGCGAAGGAAGCCGGGGUUUCUGCAGGCCCAGGGAAAGUUCCCUUCCUAGAGUCUUUUUUAAAAGAAGACGAAGGGAAGAGUUGAAGCGCCUUGAAUUUUCCUUCGGGAGCGUGGAGCCAAGCGGAUUUCCGCAAAGGAAGCGAAGACCACAGUCCAGGGUCCUGCAGUGUCCACCUCAUUCUCUCCAGGCCUCUCCACUUGCGCAGCUCUCAGCCACCCGGAGAUGACCGAAGGGGCUUCUGGGCUGCGUUGGGAGCUGACACUGCCCCCCGCCCAUUCCAGCUUGGUUUCCUAAAGUCCAGCGACCUCCAACCCUCCUUGGGGGAAAAAUUACCAGCACCCAGGCACAUUAGCCCCCUGUCCUGUGUGACCUGGUUCCCUUCAGAAAUAUUUUACCACGAAGAAGAAAGAACAGCUUGGAGCCCUGUUUACAUCUAGUUCUACUGAUCCAUUCACAUCUGGAGGGUUUAUUUAUAACACCCUCUAUAACUCUCUCUGUUUGGAAGCAGUGGUGGCUCUAUUGACAGACUGAUGUCUACAAAAUAUUGCUCUAUCUCUAACCAUACCUAAAUGUGCUGUGGUUGUAUUUACAGAUUUAUGCUUGAGGAAAAUAUAAUUAUUUCCAUUGUAUUUGUGCAUAUACAAUAGUUAUAGGAGCAGAUUUAUAUAUGGGAAAAUAUACGACUCUCUUAUAGCCAUACAGCUUUAUGGACAUUUGAUAUUCUGACAGAUUUAUAUCCCUGAGCAGCUAUAUAGAUAAAUGUAUAUCGUUAGAAUUAUGUAUCAGCAGAUAUAUACUUAUUGAUUGUGAUAUAGAGUAGUUAGAGCAUUCACUUAGAGACAUAUAUGGCUAUGGAGAUAUUUCUAUAUUAUUAUCACUAUAUAUAGGCAUAUCUAUUUAUAACCACAUAGUUAUAAAAAUAGACAUAAGUAAUUAUAGUCCUAUAUGUACAUGCUGCUAUCUCUCUAGAGUUAUAGACACUUUUGAAUAUAACUCUAUAGAGAUAUCCAUAUGUAUAUAAGGUGUAAUUAUCUCCUGAUGUGUGUGUGUUGGGACUUAGGCCAGUCUAUCUCUGAAUAGACAUAUUUAUGUGUAGGGGCUGGGAGAGACUUGUUCAGCAAGAUAACUGCAGAGGGCCAUCUGUAUCUGGCCAUCUAGGAAACUUGCUAGCAGAGUUCUUUAUUCAAGGAGGGAUGAAAUUACAAAAGGAUAAACAGAGCAUAGGAAGUGCCCAGGAGGGGAGGGAAAUGGAGGGUGAUGGGGCUCCCAGGAACAGAUAGACCGGGAGGAACAGGGUAAACACUGGGCACUCACCAGAAGGUGACAGCCGAUUUUGUGAAGGGCUGGCUGUGGACAGGUGUGGACCCUGUUACAAAGGGUGAACACUCCUACCACCCCACUGGGAGGCACCCUCCACUGAGGGAGCAGCCUCCUGUUAGACAUUUAGUGCACCAAAGGUUAACUUUAUUCUUAGCUCUUUUCUCUCGAACCCUAAUUUUUGAAAGAGUGGGCUUCAAACUGGCACGGUGGUGCAGGCCCGUCAUCCCAGUGACUAGAGAGGUUGAGGCAGGAAGAUCACAAGUUGGAGACCAGCCUAGACAAAUUAAUUACUGAGAUCCUGCCUCAAAAUAGAAAAUAAUUUUGAAGCUAUAGCUCAGUGGUGAAGUUCCUGGUUUUAAUUCCUAGUGAAAGAGGGAAGGGGGAGAAAUGUUGAUGAAGGGUGAAGAGGUAUGGGAGGCACUGGGCAAGGAGGGGAGUGUACUUUUGCCACCACUGCUUUCUGGUAAUGCAGCCAGGAAAUUGAGGCAAUCUGGUCAAAUAAAGCUUGCUUUUAUGGGA